UACGAAGGACCCAAGCGUUAUCCGGAUUUAUUGGGCGUAAAGGGCGCGUAGGCGGCGUGGUAAGUCACUUGUGAAAUCUCUGAGCUUAACUCAGAACGGCCAAGUGAUACUGCUGUGCUAGAGUGCAGAAGGGGCAAUCGGAAUUCUUGGUGUAGCGGUGAAAUGCGUAGAUAUCAAGAGGAACACCUGAGGUGAAGACGGGUUGCUGGGCUGACACUGACGCUGAGGCGCGAAAGCCAGGGGAGCAAACGGG
rnacentral:rRNA from 1 species